UGGGGAAUUUUGGACAAUGGGGGAAACCCUGAUCCAGCCAUCCCGCGUGUGCGAUGAAGGCCUUCGGGUUGUAAAGCACUUUUGGCAGGAAAGAAACGUCAUGGGUUAAUACCCCGUGAAACUGACGGUACCUGCAGAAUAAGCACCGGCUAACUACGUGCCAGCAGCCGCGGUAAUACGUAGGGUGCAAGCGUUAAUCGGAAUUACUGGGCGUAAAGCGUGCGCAGGCGGUUCGGAAAGAAAGAUGUGAAAUCCCAGAGCUCAACUUUGGAACUGCAUUUUUAACUACCGGGCUAGAGUGUGUCAGAGGGAGGUGGAAGUCCGCGUGUAGCAGUGAAAUGCGUAGAUAUGCGGAGGAACACCGAUGGCGAAGGCAGCCUCCUGGGAUAAAACUGACGCUCAUGCACGAAAGCGUGGGGAGCAAACAGG
rnacentral:rRNA from 1 species